rnacentral:rRNA from 1 species
UCGUGCGUCACGGACGACGGCUGGCGGCGGUGCCUAAUACAUAGCAAGUCGACGCGACCGGAUUGGGGCGUUGCUUGAUUCGGUCGAGCGGCGGACGGGUGGAGUAACGAACGUCGGGCGAACCUGCCCGCCGAAAGAACCGGGACGUAAACUCCGGGAAACCCGGAGCUAAUACCGGAUAACACCGAAGACCGCAUGGUCUUCGGUUGAAAGGCGGCCUUUGGGCUGUCACUUGCGGAUGGGCCCGCGGCGCAUUAGCUAGUUGGUGAGGUAACGGCUCACCAAGGCGACGAUGCGUAGCCGGCCUGAGAGGGUGACCGGCCACACUGGGACUGAGACACGGCCCAGACUCCUACGGGAGGCAGCAGUAGGGAAUCUUCCGCAAUGGGCGAAAGCCUGACGGAGCGACGCCGCGUGAGCGAAGAAGGCCUUCGGGUCGUAAAGCUCUGUUGUGAGGGACGAAGGAGCGCCGUCCGAAGAGGGCGGCGCGGUGACGGUACCUCACGAGAAAGCCCCGGCUAACUACGUG